CUAACGUCCGUCGUGAAGAGGGAAACAACCCAGACCGCCAGCUAAGGUCCCAAAGUCAUGGUUAAGUGGGAAACGAUGUGGGAAGGCCCAGACAGCCAGGAUGUUGGCUUAGAAGCAGCCAUCAUUUAAAGAAAGCGUAAUAGCUCACUGGUCGAGUCGGCCUGCGCGGAAGAUGUAACGGGGCUAAACCAUGCACCGAAGCUGCGGCAGCGACACUAUGUGUUGUUGGGUAGGGGAGCGUUCUGUAAGCCUGUGAAGGUGUACUGUGAGGUAUGCUGGAGGUAUCAGAAGUGCGAAUGCUGACAUAAGUAACGAUAAAGCGGGUGAAAAGCCCGCUCGCCGGAAGACCAAGGGUUCCUGUCCAACGUUAAUCGGGGCAGGGUGAGUCGACCCCUAAGGCGAGGCCGAAAGGCGUAGUCGAUGGGAAACAGGUUAAUAUUCCUGUACUUGGUGUUACUGCGAAGGGGGGACGGAGAAGGCUAUGUUGGCCGGGCGACGGUUGUCCCGGUUUAAGCGUGUAGGCUGAUUUUCCAGGCAAAUCCGGAAAAUCAAGGCUGAGGCGUGAUGACGAGGCACUACGGUGCUGAAGCAACAAAUGCCCUGCUUCCAGGAAAAGCCUCUAAGCAUCAGGUAACAUCAAAUCGUACCCCAAACCGACACAGGUGGUCAGGUAG
rnacentral:rRNA from 1 species